rnacentral:rRNA from 1 species
AGAAUGAACGCUGGCGGCGUGCUUAACACAUGCAAGUCGAACGGGAUUGUGGGGGCAACCCCGCAGUCUAGUGGCGGACGGGUGAGUAACACGUGGGCAACCUGCCCGGAAGUGGGGAAUACCUCGGGGAAACUCGAGCUAAUACCGCAUAACAUCUUUGGGACGAAAGUCCUGACGAUCAAAGCGGGGUCGCAAGAUCUCGCGCUACCGGAUGGGCCCGCGCCCGAUUAGCUAGUUGGUGGGUAACGGCUCACCAAGGCUUCGAUC